GAUGAACGCUGACAGAAUGCUUAACACAUGCAAGUCAACUUGAACUUCGGUUUGGGUGGCGGACGGGUGAGUAACGCGUAAAGAACUUGCCUCACAGAUAGGGACAACAUUUGGAAACGUAUGCUAAUACCUGAUAUUAUGAUUAUAUGGCAUCGUAUAAUUAUGAAAGCUAUAUGCGCUGUGAGAGAGCUUUGCGUCCCAUUAGCUAGUUGGAGAGGUAACGGCUCACCAAGGCGAUGAUGGGUAGCCGGCCUGAGAGGGUGAUCGGCCACAAGGGGACGGAGACACGGCCCGUACUCCUACGGGAGGAAGCGGUGGGGAAUAUUGGACAAUGGACCAAGAGUGUGAUCCAGCAAUUCUGUGUGCACGAUGAAGUUUUUCGGAAUGUAAAGUGCUUUCAGUUGGGAAGAAAAAAAUGACGGUACCAACAGAAGAAGUGACGGCUAAAUACGUG
rnacentral:rRNA from 1 species